AAGAGAAGAGCUUGUCAAGUUAGCUAAAGAUGACCUGCUUGACCCCAAGAACGAAAGAACAUAUGAAAGAUCUUUUCAGAAGUGGUGCAGGCAAGUCAUCCUUGGCUACCAAAUAAGACUCUUUUCA
rfam:Solanum tuberosum cultivar DM 1-3 516 R44 scf00300_17, whole genome shotgun sequence.